rnacentral:rRNA from 1 species
AGUGAACGCUGGCGGUAGGCCUAACACAUGCAAGUCGAACGGCAGCACAGUAAGAGCUUGCUCUUACGGGUGGCGAGUGGCGGACGGGUGAGGAAUACAUCGGAAUCUACUUUUUCGUGGGGGAUAACGUAGGGAAACUUACGCUAAUACCGCAUACGACCUACGGGUGAAAGCAGGGGAUCUUCGGACCUUGCGCGAUUGAAUGAGCCGAUGUCGGAUUAGCUAGUUGGCGGGGUAAAGGCCCACCAAGGCGACGAUCCGUAGCUGGUCUGAGAGGAUGAUCAGCCACACUGGAACUGAGACACGGUCCAGACUCCUACGGGAGGCAGCAGCGGGGAAUAUUGGACAAUGGGCGCAAGCCUGAUCCAGCCAUACCGCGUGGGUGAAGAAGGCCUUCGGGUUGUAAAGCCCUUUUGUUGGGAAAGAAAAGCAGCAGGUUAAUACCCCGCUGUUCUGACGGUACCCAAAGAAUAAGCACCGGCUAACUUCG